UACGAAGGGGGCUAGCGUUGUUCGGAAUUACUGGGCGUAAAGCGCACGUAGGCGGAUUGUUAAGUCAGGGGUGAAAUCCCGGGGCUCAACCCCGGAACUGCCUUUGAUACUGGCAUUCUCGAGUCCGGAAGAGGUGAGUGGAAUUCCGAGUGUAGAGGUGAAAAUUCGUAGAUAUUCGGAGGAACACCAGUGGCGAAGGCGGCUCACUGGUCCGGAACUGACGCUGAGGUGCGAAAGCGUGGGGAGCAAACAGG
rnacentral:rRNA from 1 species